rnacentral:tRNA from 2 species
GCACGGGUGACAGAGCGGCUAUGUGCGGGACUGCAGAUCCUGAUACCCGAGUUCAAAUCUCGGCCUGUGCU